rnacentral:tRNA from 1 species
AGUAAAGUCAGCUAAUAAAGCUUUCGGGCCCAUACCCCGACAAUGUUGGUACCCAAUCCCUCCUAUACUA